rnacentral:rRNA from 1 species
GGUUUCCUAGGUAAAGGCAAUCUGCGUAGGGUAAGUCGGCCCCUAAGUUCAGGACGAAAGUCGUAGACGAUGGGAAAUUGGUUUAGAAUCCAAUACCUUAUAUAUUUUGAAGCACUGACGCAUGAAGUGAAAUCCGGCCGGGCGACCGUUGUCCCGGUCUAAACCGCGAGUUUAUGAAGAACUGGUUAAAAGAACAUCUGAGUGAGACUGCGGGCGAGCGGAAAGAAAGUUGAAGUGAAGCGGACGUAAUCAAGGUGCCGGGAAAUAGUGGCUAGGGAAGGUAUAUAAGACCGUACCGGAAACCGACACAGGUAGGAAGGAUGAGUAAUCUAAGGCGCACGAGCGACCUCGCGUUAAGGAACUCGGCAAAAUGCGCACGUAACUUCGGAAGAAGUGCGGCUCCUGUUUGAAAGAAUUGGGAGUGACACAAAGCAGGCCCAGGCGACUGUUUAUCAAAAACACAGCCAUCUGCAAAUCAGUAAUGA